rnacentral:rRNA from 1 species
CAUGCAGUCGAGGGGUAUAGGUUUUCGGACCUAGAGACCGGCGCACGGGUGCGUAACGCGUAUGCAAUCUACCUUUCACAAAGGGAUAGCCCAGAGAAAUUUGGAUUAAUACCUUAUAGUAAUACGACUUGGCAUCAAGAUGUAUUUAAAGAUUUAUCGGUGAAAGAUGAGCAUGCGUCCCAUUAGCUUGUUGGUAAGGUAACGGCUUACCAAGGCAACGAUGGGUAGGGGUCCUGAGAGGGAGAUCCCCCACACUGGUACUGAGACACGGACCAGACUCCUACGGGAGGCAGCAGUGAGGAAUAUUGGACAAUGGGCGCAAGCCUGAUCCAGCCAUGCCGCGUGCAGGAUGACGGUCCUAUGGAUUGUAAACUGCUUUUGUACAGGAAGAAACCCUUUCACGUGUGGAAGAUUGACGGUACUGUAAGAAUAAGGAUCGGCUAACUCCGUGCCAGCAGCCGCGGUAAUACGGAGGAUCCAAGCGUUAUCCGGAAUCAUUGGGUUUAAAGGGUCCGUAGGCGGUCAAGUAAGUCAGUGGUGAAAGCCCAUCGCUCAACGGUGGAACGGCCAUUGAUACUGCUUGACUUGAAUUAUUAGGAAGUAACUAGAAUAUGUAGUGUAGCGGUGAAAUGCUUAGAGAUUACAUGGAAUACCAAUUGCGAAGGCAGGUUACUACUAAUGGAUUGACGCUGAUGGACGAAAGCGUGGGUAGCGAACAGGAUUAGAUACCCUGGUAGUCCACGCCGUAAACGAUGGAUACUAGCUGUUGGGAGCAAUCUCAGUGGCUAAGCGAAAGUGAUAAGUAUCCCACCUGGGGAGUACGUUCGCAAGAAUGAAACUCAAAGGAAUUGACGGGGGCCCGCACAAGCGGUGGAGCAUGUGGUUUAAUUCGAUGAUACGCGAGGAACCUUACCAAGGCUUAAAUGUAGAUUGACCGGUUUGGAAACAGACUUUUCGCAAGACAAUUUACAAGGUGCUGCAUGGUUGUCGUCAGCUCGUGCCGUGAGGUGUCAGGUUAAGUCCUAUAACGAGCGCAACCCCUGUCGUUAGUUGCCAGCGAGUCAUGUCGGGAACUCUAACGAGACUGCCAGUGCAAACUGAGAGGAAGGUGGGGAUGACGUCAAAUCAUCACGGCCCUUACGCCUUGGGCUACACACGUGCUACAAUGGCCGGUACAGAAAGCAGCCACUGGGUGACCAGGA